rnacentral:rRNA from 1 species
CCCUUAGAUGUUCUGGGCCGCACGCGCGCUACACUGGUACGUUCAACAAGUUUACAACCUUGAUCGAUAGGUCUGGGUAAUCUUUUUAAUGCGUACCGUGCUAGGGAUAGAUUAUUGCAAUUAUUAAUCUCGAACGAGGAAUUCCUAGUAAACGCAAGUCAUCAGCUUGCAUUGAUUACGUCCCUGCCCUUUGUACACACCGCCCGUCGCACCUACCGAUUGAAUGGUCCGGUGAAUCUUUAGGACUGUGGCUGAGGCCUUGCCUUGUGCGGGUCUGGCCGUGGGAAUUUAGUUAAACCUUACCAUUUAGAGGAAGGUGAAGUCGUAACA